rnacentral:rRNA from 1 species
CAUUGCCUACGGGACGCAGCAGUGAGGAAUAUUGGUCAAUGGUCGGGAGACUGAACCAGCCACGCCGCGUGAGGGAUGAAGGUACAGAGUAUCGUAAACCUCUUUUGUCAGGGAACAAAGGCGGGGACGUGUCCCCGGAUGAGUGUACCUGAAGAAAAAGCAUCGGCUAACUCCGUGCCAGCAGCCGCGGUAAUGCGGAGGAUGCGAGCGUUAUCCGGAUUUAUUGGGUUUAAAGGGUGCGCAGGCGGGCUGUUAAGUCAGCGGUCAAAGCCCGGGGCUCAAACCCGGCCCGCCGGUGAAACUGG